rnacentral:rRNA from 1 species
UACGUAGGGUGCGAGCGUUGCCCGGAUUUAUUGGGCGUAAAGGGCGCGUAGGCGGCGCGGUAAGUCACUUGUGAAAUCUCUGAGCUUAACUCAGAACGGCCAAGUGAUACUGCAGUGCUAGAGUGUGGAAGGGGCAAUCGGAAUUCUUGGUGUAGCGGUGAAAUGCGUAGAUAUCAAGAGGAACACCUGAGGUGAAGACGGGUUGCUGGGCCAACACUGACGCUGAGGCGCGAAAGCCAGGGGAGCAAACGGG